rnacentral:misc_RNA from 1 species
CAAUGGAAAGGGGAGCCGAAGCUCCCCCUGAAGUAGUGUUGCUGUUGUUGUUAUUGUUUCGGCUGUUGGUGUUGUUAUCGCCGAAGCGUAGGCCAGGCCGAAGCCCGCAUACGCACCCCCAAUCGGGGGCCAAUAGCGAACGGAUUACUUUGGUUGCUGACGUGGUCCUGAUCGAUGAUCCGGCCAUGCGCUUCGCUGCAUCACAGGCAGUC